UUGUGUGGAGCUAACCUUCGCGGACUCCUGCAUGACCCUCACCCUUGCUUUUUAGUUAUCUUUCCGUUUCCUCGGCGGCUCUGGCCGCCAUUAUGAGGACCAGAGAAACCCUUUUUUGCAAUAACAGUACAAAUUUCAGAACAAAACAACCUUUUA
rnacentral:misc_RNA from 1 species